rnacentral:rRNA from 1 species
GACGAACGCUGGCGGCGUGCUUAACACAUGCAAGUAGAACGAUGAAGCCUUUCGGGGUGGAUUAGUGGCGAACGGGUGAGUAACACGUGGGUAAUCUGCCUUGCACUCUGGGAUAAGCCUGGGAAACUGGGUCUAAUACCGGAUAUGACUACUUCACGCAUGUGGGGUGGUGGAAAGUUCUGGCGGUGUGAGAUGAACCCGCGGCCUAUCAGCUUGUUGGUGGGGUGAUGGCCUACCAAGGCGACGACGGGUAGCCGGCCUGAGAGGGCGACCGGUCACACUGGGACUGAGACACGGCCCAGACUCCUACGGGAGGCAGCAGUGGGGAAUAUUGCACAAUGGGCGAAAGCCUGAUGCAGCGACGCCGCGUGAGGGAUGACGGCCU